rnacentral:rRNA from 1 species
CCUACGGGUGGCUGCAGUGGGGAAUAUUGCGCAAUGGGCGAAAGCCUGACGCAGCGACGCCGCGUGAGGGAUGAAGGUCUUCGGAGCGUAAACCUCUGUCAGCAGGGAAGAACGGUCACGGUGCUAAGCAGCAGUGAAUAGACGGUACCAGCAAAGGAAGCAGCGGCGAACUCCGUGCCAGCAGCCGCGGUAAGACGGAGGGGGCGAGCGUUAAGCGGAAUUACUGGGCGUAAAGCGCUCGUAGGCGGUAUGUCAAGUCAAGGGUGAAAUCCCCCCGCUCAACGUGGGAACUGCCUUUGAAACUGGCAACCUGGAGUGUGUGCGAGGCUACUGGAAUUCCAGGUGUAGCCGU